GAUGAACGCUAGCGGCAGGCCUAAUACAUGCAAGUCGAAUGGAUAUAUGUUUUUCGGAAUAUAUAUUAGUGGCGCACGGGUGAGUAACACGUACAUAACUUGCCCUCAAGCGGGGGAUAGCCUUGGGAAACUGAGAGUAAUACCCCAUAGAAUUAUUGGACGGCAUCGUUUGAUAAUUAAAACUACGGUGCUUGGGGAUAGAUGUGCGUCUGAUUAGCUAGUUGGUGAGGUAACUGCUCACCAAGGCGACGAUCAGUAGGGGGGCGUGAGAGCGUGGCCCCCCCACACGGGUACUGAGACACGGACCCGACUCCUACGGGAGGCAGCAGUAAGGAAUAUUGGUCAAUGGAGGGAACUCUGAACCAGCCAUGCCGCGUGAAGGAUGACGGCCCUCUGGGUUGUAAACUUCUUUUGGAUGGGGCGAAAAAACGGGAUUUAUCCUGGACUGACGGUACCAUCAGAAUAAGCACCGGCUAACUCCGUG
rnacentral:rRNA from 1 species